ACUCAAAUGAAUUGACGGGGACUUGCACAAGCGGUGGAUCAUGCGGCUCAAUUCGAUGGUAAACGAAGAACCUCACCCGGGUUUGAAACCCAGUGGAAAUCCUAGGGAAACUUAGGACCUCGCAAGACCACUGGGCAGGUGAUGCAUGGUCGUCGUCAGUUCGUGGCUUGAGUUGUUCCCUUCAGUGGGGUAACGAACGCAACCCGCGUUGCCUGUUUUAUAUGUCAGGCGAGACUGCCCUCUCACGAGGGAGGAAGGUGCGGAUGACGCCAGAUCAGCAUGUCCCUCUGAUAUCCGGGGCUGCACGCAUGAUACAAUGCAUACGACAACGGGACGCAAUGUGGUAACACGGAGCAAAUCCUUAUAAACGUAUGCCCAGUUCGGAUUGAGGUCUGCAACUCGACCUCAUGAAGCCGGAAUCGCUAGUAAUCGCGGGUCAGCUAUACCGCGGUGAAUACGUUCUCAAGUCUUGUACACACCGCCCGU
rnacentral:rRNA from 1 species